CCUACGUGAGGCAGCAGUAGGGAAUCUUCCGCAAUGGGCGAAAGCCUGACGGAGCAACGCCGCGUGAGUGAAGAAGGAUUUCGGUUCGUAAAGCUCUGUUGUUAGGGAAGAAUGAUUGUGUAGUAACUAUACACAGUAGAGACGGUACCUAACCAGAAAGCCACGGCUAACUACGUGCCAGCAGCCGCGGUAAUACGUAGGUGGCAAGCGUUGUCCGGAAUUAUUGGGCGUAAAGCGCGCGCAGGUGGUUUAAUAAGUCUGAUGUGAAAGCCCACGGCUCAACCGUGGAGGGUCAUUGGAAACUGUUAAACUUGAGUGCAGGAGAGAAAAGUGGAAUUCCUAGUGUAGCGGUGAAAUGCGUAGAGAUUAGGAGGAACACCAGUGGCGAAGGCGGCUUUUUGGCCUGUAACUGACACUGAGGCGCGAAAGCGUGGGGAGCAAACAGGAUUAGAUACCCUAGUAGUC
rnacentral:rRNA from 1 species